GAUCUUUCAUUUACAGGCUUUUGGUCACAAGAGUUCCUGAGCAAAAGAAUGUGGGUGAGCAAGACAAAUCAAUCACCACCAGCAGAGAAUCAGUGCAAAAUAUGUGAUACUAUUGACUCAACCUUCAGAAAGGCCUUUCUGAGUACUGUCACAUCCAUGCUGCCCGAGGACGAUCAGAGCAAAGGAUGAAAGAGAAGGAGGAAGAUGAGAAAGCUAAGGCCCGUGACUGGUACAAGAACACAGCCAGUUUCCUGACUGCUGGGAUUCGCUCUUAGAGGCAUUCCUCCAUACAGGUUUUCAAAGUGCUUUCCUCACAACAAGCCUAUGCAUUUGGUAGUUCAAAGUGUUGAUAGUCUCCUGACAUAGUGGCGAGAGUACUGGACUUUGCACCUGGAAGAUUUGGGUUCAAAUCCCUCCCCAUCCCCGACAUUUGCUGUCCUUAUGACCAUGGAUGAGAUGCUUACCUUUUUUGAGUCUUGGCUUCCUAAUCAGU